GCCGUAUUUCAUUUGAUGAAACGGCCGAUUAUGUUUCAAAAACCUUUGAUCUUCUACCAAUCGCAGCAGUCAUAGACAAAUUAUGCUUGAAGGAGCUCAGAGAAGAAGCUAAUCUCAGAUGCGAGUUAUAUUAGCAUUGUUGUAGAUAUUUUUGUUUUGAUCUAACAAGUUGUUGGAGCUCUUUAUGUCACGAUGUAUGACAAUUUGUGGUUGAUAACAAGGGAUUAUGAAGGUAGUCUAGCCCACAGACAACACAAAUGAAUAUCUAGAGGUAUUAGUUCCGGUGUGUGACAUGUGUGUUCACAAAAUUGUGUUGUACAUGUCUCACGCUUGAAUCAAAUGACUCUAGAUAGUCGUUGGUGUUGUGUGUGGGUUGGCUUACCAUCAUAAUCCUUUGUUGUUAGGGCGGAUUGUCGUACAUUGUGACAUAAAUAGCUCUAACAUCAUGUUUGAGUUUUCUUUUGAAUUAUUGUAUUGUAAUAAAUUUUAUGAAUUAUUGUAUUGUAAUAAAUUUAUUUUUUAUAUAUAAUGUUAUAAAUAGGUGGGUGUUUUUUUUUUUUUUUGUAAGAGGUGUAUUGUUUGUCUGUGUUUCUACCUGGAUACUUGUUCAUUAUAAAGUAUGGCUGUUAAGGAUGAGAAGUUCAACGUUCUAAUCCGGCAGAAUGGUGGAACUGAUCGCUUAACCGACUUGUUUGAUGAUUUAGUUUACGGUUCUCAGUUGCUGAUUUGA
rnacentral:lncRNA from 1 species